GAUGAACGCUGGCGGCGUGCCUAAUACAUGCAAGUCGAGCGAACAGACGAGGAGCUUUCUCCUCUGACGUUAGCGGCGGACGGGUGAGUAACACGUGGAUAACCUACCUAUAAGACUGGGAUAACUUCGGGAAACCGGAGCUAAUACCGGAUAAUAUAUUGAACCGCAUGGUUCAAUAGUGAAAGACGGUUUUGCUGUCACUUAUAGAUGGAUCCGCGCCGGAUUAGCUAGUUGGUAAGGUAACGGCUUACCAAGGCAACGAUGCGUAGCCGACCUGAGAGGGUGAUCGGCCACACUGGAACUGAGACACGGUCCAGACUCCUACGGGAGGCAGCAGUAGGGAAUAUUCCGCAAUGGGCGAAAGCCUGACGGAGCAACGCCGCGUGAGUGAUGAAGGUCUUCGGAUCGUAAAACUCUGUUAUUAGGGAAGAACAAAUGUGUAAGUAACUAUGCACGUCUUGACGGUACCUAAUCAGAAAGCCACGGCUAACUACGCG
rnacentral:rRNA from 1 species